GCAAACAUAGCUCAGUGGUAGAGCACUUGCCUAGCAUGCAGGAGGCCCUGGGUUCGGUCCCCAGCACUGCACAGGCUGCA